AUUGAACGCUGGCGGCAGGCCUAACACAUGCAAGUCGAGCGGAGCGGCGGACGGGUGAGUAAUGCCUAGGAAUCUGCCUGGUAGUGGGGGAUAACGUCCGGAAACGGGCGCUAAUACCGCAUACUAUCAGAUGAGCCUAGGUCGGAUUAGCUAGUUGGGGGGGUAAAGGCCUACCAAGGCGACGAUCCGUAACUGGUCUGAGAGGAUGAUCAGUCACACUGGAACUGGUACACGUUCCAGACUCCUACGGGAGGCAGCAGUGGGGAAUAUUGCACGAUGGGCUCAAGCCUGAUGCAGCCAUGCCGCGUGUGUGAAGAAGGCCUUCGAAUUGUAAAGCACUUUCAGCGUAGAGGCGUUACCCGCAGAAGAAACACCGGCUAACUCCGUGCCAGCAGCCGCGGUAAUUC
rnacentral:rRNA from 1 species